rnacentral:rRNA from 1 species
AUUGAACGCUGGCGGCAUGCCUUACACAUGCAAGUCGAGCGCGAAAGGGGGCAACCCCGAGUAGAGCGGCGAACGGGUGAGUAACGCAUCGGAACGUGCCCAGUAGUGGGGGACAACCUCGAGAAAUCGAGGCUAAUACCGCAUACGACCCACGGGUGAAAGCGGGGGACCGCAAGGCCUCGCGCUAUUGGAGCGGCCUAUGUCCGAUUAGCUAGUUGGCGGGGUAAGAGCCCACCAAGGCGACGAUCGGUAGCUGGUCUGAGAGGACGACCAGCCACACUGGGACUGAGACACGGCCCAGACUCCUACGGGAGGCAGCAGUGGGGAAUAUUGGACAAUGGGCGGAAGCCUGAUCCAGCCAUGCCGCGUGCGUGAAGAAGGCCUUAUGGUUGUAAAGCACUUUAAGCGAGGAGGAGGCUACUUUAGUUAAUACCUAGAGAUAGUGGACGUUACUCGCAGAAUAAGCACCGGCUAACUCUGUGCCAGCCGCCGCAGUAAAAC